rnacentral:lncRNA from 1 species
AUGCACUGUGGGGACAUUCCCAGCCCCUGCUGUCCCCAGCCCUCCUGCAGCACAGGCAGGGCUGAUCCUGAGUGCAGCAGUGCCACAGAGGAUGCACUGUGGGGACAUUCCCAGCCCCUCCUGCCCUGCCCCUCUCCCUCCUCCUCCUCCCGAGUGCCCUCAGAGUCUGAGCCCAGGCUGGGCUGUGACCCCCCCAGGCUCAGCCAAGCCCCCCCAGCCCCUGUGCCCCUGCCAGCUGUGGCCCGUGGGCUCAGCAGGGCAUGGCCAGCAGCCCUGGCCUUGCCUGGCCCACGCGUGCCCAGGGCAGAGCUUUGUGAGCUCCUCUGCCCUGGGGCCGGGUGUCCCCUGUGCCCUGGGUGGUGCCAGAAGUGUCCCCACGUGGCCCACGGGCUCUGCAGGCACCAGUGGCAGCAGCCCUUGCACAAACCCACCCAGCUCUGGCUGCCUGGGAAGGGGCCCCUGACUGAACAGGGUGCCAGAGCCAUGCUGAGCACAGAGCAGGGCAGGAGCACUGGCAGGGAACAGCAGGAGCCACAGCAGGAUGCAGGGCCAGAGCUGCCAGCACCAGGGCAGCGUGUCCAGACAUGGCAUCAGGCUGGCAAGCCUGUCUGUGUCUGCAUGCAAUGGGAAGGGAGCACACAGGGCCCCAGGAAAUGGCACCCAAGAGGUGCAAAAGCAUCGCUGAGCCCCAAAGCAGAGCCACCAAGCCCCAAAAAAUCCCCGGGCCUGAGUGACUGCCAGCAGUGCAGGCAGUCCUGGAGGGGCACUGCCCUGGGCCCUUCCCCAGGAGAAGAAACCCUUUGGUGUGGGAGCCAGGACAGGCCGGGCCAUACAGGACUCAUGGGCCCUGUGUCCUAAGCAGUCUGAGCACAUCCUGGGCACAAUUCUCCCCUCUUGGUGCUUUGGGUUCUUCCCCCAGAGGGUGUUUGGGCACUGGAACAGCUCCCCAGGGAAUGGGGACGGCCCCAAGGCUGCCACGACCCCAGGAGUGUAUGGACAAUGCUCUCAGGGAUGCACAGGGUGGGAUUAUUGGGGUGUCUGCGUAGGGCCAGGAGCUGGACUCGAUGAUCAUCAUUGAAUCCCUUCCAACUCAGGAUAUUCUGUGAUUGACUAUAUGAGUUUUAUCUAGCCGGGCCAUACAGGACUCAUGGGCCCUGUGUCCUAAGCAGUCUGAGCACAUCCUGGGCACAAUUCUCCCCUCUUGGUGCUUUGGGUUCUUCCCCCAGA